rnacentral:ncRNA from 1 species
CUACAGACUUAAUUGGAUUGAGCCUUGGUAUGGAAACAUACUAAGUGUUCACUUUCAAAUUUACAGAAACCUUGGAAUUAACAAAAAUGGGCAAUCCUGAGCCAAAUCAUGUUUUCUAAGAACAAACAACGGCUCAAAAAAAAUGAUAGGUGCAGAGACUCAAUGAAAUCUAUUCUAACAAAUAGAGUUAAAUGCGUCCGUAGAGGACUCUUUACAUCGAUACUUCAGAAAGAAAAAGAAUGAAGUGAAGGAUAAACAUAUAUACAUACGUAUUGAAUGCUUUAUCAAAUGAUUAAUGAUGACCCGAAUCCGUAGUUUUUCUAUAAGAAAUCGAAGAAUUGCUGUGAAUCCAUUCUAAAUUGGAGAAAGAAUAGAAUAUUCAUUGAUCGAAUCCUUCACUCCAUAGUGUGAUAGAUCUUUUGAAGAACUGAAUAAUCGGACGAGAAUAAAGAUAGAGUCCCGUUCUACAUGUCAAUACCGA